rnacentral:rRNA from 1 species
AUGCUUUGGUGCCUUGGGGAACUCUGAGACAGGUGUUGCAUGGCUGUCGUCAGCUUGUGUUGUGAAAUGUUGGGUUAAGUCCCGCAACGAGCGCAACCCUUAUCCUUUGUUGCCAGCGGUUAGGCCGGGAACUCAAAGGAGACUGCCAGUGAUAAACUGGAGGAAGGUGGGGAUGACGUCAAGUCAUCAUGGCCCUUACGAGUAGGGCUACACACGUGCUACAAUGGCGCAUACAAAGAGAAGCGACCUCGCGAGAGCAAGCGGACCUCAUAAAGUGCGUCGUAGUCCGGAUUGGAGUCUGCAACUCGACUCCAUGAAGUCGGAAUCGCUAGUAAUCGUGGAUCAGAAUGCCACGGUGAAUACGUUCCCGGGCCUUGUACACACCGCCCGUCACACCAUGGGAGUGGGUUGCAAAAGAAGUAGGUAGCUUAACCUUCGGGAGGGCGCUUACCACUUUGUGAUUCAUGACUGGGGUGAAG